UACGGGGGGGGGCAAGCGUUUGUUCGGAAUUACUGGGCGUAAAGGGCUCGUAGGCGGCCAACUAAGUCGGAUGUGAAAUCCCCAGGCUCAACCUGGGAAUUGCGUCUGAUACUGGAUGGCUUGAAUCCGGGAGAGGGAUGCAGAAUUCCAGGUGUAGCGGUGAAAUGCGUAGAUAUCUGGAGGAACACCGGUGGCGAAGGCGGCAUCCUGGACCGAGAUUGACGCUGAGGCGCGAAAGCCAGGGGAGCAAACGGG
rnacentral:rRNA from 1 species